UCCUUAUCAAGAGAGGCAGAGGGACUGGCCCGAUGACGCCCGGCAACCGCUAUUUAAUAGUAUGGUGCCAAAUCCUGCAGGACUGUAGAAGUCCUGAAAGAUGAGGA
rnacentral:ncRNA from 2 species